GACGAACGCUGGCGGCGUGCCUAAUACAUGCAAGUAGAACGCUGAAGAGAGGAGCUUGCUCUUCUUGGAUGAGUUGCGAACGGGUGAGUAACGCGUAGGUAACCUGCCUGGUAGCGGGGGAUAACUAUUGGAAACGAUAGCUAAUACCGCAUAAAAUUGAUUAUUGCAUGAUAAUUAAUUGAAAGAUGCAACUGCAUCACUACCAGAUGGACCUGCGUUGUAUUAGCUAGUUGGUGAGGUAACGGCUCACCAAGGCGACGAUACAUAGCCGACCUGAGAGGGUGAUCGGCCACACUGGGACUGGGACACGGCCCAGACUCCUACGGGAAGCAGCAGUAGGGAAUCUUCGGCAAUGGGGGGAACCCUGACCGAGCAACGCCGCGGGAGUGAAGAAGGUUUUCGGAUCGGAAAGCUCUGUUGUAAGAGAAGAACGGGUGUGAGAGUGGAAAGUUCACACUGUGACGGUAUCUUACCAGAAAGGGACGGCUAACUACGUG
rnacentral:rRNA from 1 species